CGGCCCACUCGAGGCUAGGGGGCUGCUGCCUCAGAGAGACGAAAGGCUCCGGCUCCCCUCUCGUCGCCGGCCAUGUCGGCUGGUUGCCGUCGCCGCCCGCCCGGCCCCUUCUUCUCGGUUCCGCCUCUCCGCUUCUCAAUUUGAAAGCCCCAGCGCAAAUCGCCGCCGCCGACGCGGCGUUUGCGGCAGUGUUUCGUCGGACACCCGGUGAUCACGGAGAUUUGUGUUGUGCACAUUUGCUUCCAAUGGAAAGAUCGUGGAACUUCAACUACUCUCGUUUGUAGAGUUUCUUGUGUGGCGUAACAGAUGAUGGAGCUGAUAUAAUCAUCAAAUGAUUGCUUCCAGAGAGCAUCAAAGAUGUCUCAAAGAUAAAGGUUGUAGUUCUUCGUCAUCUCGAGGCAGAAGAGCACUCUGCCAUCCGACUCGAACUGGCUCCACACUGGAUCAUGUGGGUUAAACGAUGAUCUCCAGUUGUUCAGGAUGCCUGUCCUGUUGAUGAUUACGAAACCCUCUAUAUAAUCAAAGGUCCUUUCUGCCGAAAUAAGCAUCUCCUGGUCCUCUGUGAAGCUUGUGAAGUCUGAAUAGAGAACUCUAAUCCACCUCACCUAUUGCAUAUUCAAAUCAUUAACAAGUGGCUUUUUGCUAGCAUUAAGUUGAUAUAAAUUAAUUGUUUUGUUAUACCAUAUUUGGAGCUGGCUCGAGGGCAAUCCUGGCUCUAGUGAUGAUGCCGAACUGACCUAGUCCACCUAGAGCAGCAUGGAAGAGAUCAGAGUUCUGCUCAGCUCCAUGACAUUGCUGAUUUGUGGGCCAUGCUGGAACGUCUGCCCACUGACCCCUGCAUUCGACAGCGUGCCUCCAAUUGUGAGGUGGAGAUAAUCAGUCCAUGACUUUGGUGCCAGACCAUACUUAAAUGUCUCGUGC